ensembl:snoRNA SNORA71 Small nucleolar RNA SNORA71
ACCUGUAUCGAAAGUGAUCAUGGCGUGCUGGUUGCCAGGUCAUCGAUAGUGCAGGAAGAGCAACGUGCGAGCCUUUCCCGUGUUUGCAGGAGCGUGCGUUCCUCUCAGACCCUGGUGCUCUCACACA